GAGUAAUGUCUGGGAAACUGCCUGAUGGAGGGGGAUAACUACUGGAAACGGUGGCUAAUACCGCAUAACGUCGCAAGACCAAAGAGGGGGACCUUCGGGCCUCUUGCCAUCAGAUGUGCCCAGAUGGGAUUAGCUUGUUGGUGAGGUAACGGCUCACCAAGGCGACGAUCCCUAGCUGGUCUGAGAGGAUGACCAGCCACACUGGAACUGAGACACGGUCCAGACUCCUACGGGAGGCAGCAGUGGGGAAUAUUGCACAAUGGGCGCAAGCCUGAUGCAGCCAUGCCGCGUGUAUGAAGAAGGCCUUCGGGUUGUAAAGUACUUUCAGCGGGGAGGAAGGUGUUGUGGUUAAUAACCACAGCAAUUGACGUUACCCGCAGAAGAAGCACCGGCUAACUCCGUGCCAGCAGCCGCGGUAAUACGGAGGGUGCAAGCGUUAAUCGGAAUUACUGGGCGUAAAGCGCACGCAGGCGGUCUGUCAAGUCGGAUGUGAAAUCCCCGGGCUCAACCUGGGAACUGCAUUCGAAACUGGCAGGCUUGAGUCUUGUAGAGGGGGGUAGAAUUCCAGGUGUAGCGGUGAAAUGCGUAGAGAUCUGGAGGAAUACCGGUGGCGAAGGCGGCCCCCUGGACAAAGACUGACGCUCAGGUGCGAAAGCGUGGGGAGCAAACAGGAUUAGAUACCCUGGUAGUCCACGCCGUAAACGAUGUCUACUUGGAGGUUGUGCCCUUGAGGCGUGGCUUCCGGAGCUAACGCGUUAAGUAGACCGCCUGGGGAGUACGGCCGCAAGGUUAAAACUCAAAUGAAUUGACGGGGGCCCGCACAAGCGGUGGAGCAUGUGGUUUAAUUCGAUGCAACGCGAAGAACCUUACCUGGUCUUGACAUCCACAGAACUUUCCAGAGAUGGAUUGGUGCCUUCGGGAACUGUGAGACAGGUGCUGCAUGGCUGUCGUCAGCUCGUGUUGUGAAAUGUUGGGUUAAGUCCCGCAACGAGCGCAACCCUUAUCCUUUGUUG
rnacentral:rRNA from 1 species